rnacentral:rRNA from 1 species
AACGCUAGCUACAGGCUUAACACAUGCAAGUCGAGGGGCAGCAUGGUCUUAGCUUGCUAAGGCCGAUGGCGACCGGCGCACGGGUGAGUAACACGUAUCCAACCUGCCGUCUACUCUUGGACAGCCUUCUGAAAGGAAGAUUAAUACAAGAUGGCAUCAUGAGUCCGCAUGUUCACAUGAUUAAAGGUAUUCCGGUAGACGAUGGGGAUGCGUUCCAUUAGAUAGUAGGCGGGGUAACGGCCCACCUAGUCUUCGAUGGAUAGGGGUUCUGAGAGGAAGGUCCCCCACAUUGGAACUGAGACACGGUCCAAACUCCUACGGGAGGCAGCAGUGAGGAAUAUUGGUCAAUGGGCGAGAGCCUGAACCAGCCAAGUAGCGUGAAGGAUGACUGCCCUAUGGGUUGUAAACUUCUUUUAUAAAGGAAUAAAGUCGGGUAUGGAUACCCGUUUGCAUGUACUUUAUGAAUAAGGAUCGGCUAACUCCGUGCCAGCAGCCGCGGUAAUACGGAGGAUCCGAGCGUUAUCCGGAUUUAUUGGGUUUAAAGGGAGCGUAGAUGGAUGUUUAAGUCAGUUGUGAAAGUUUGCGGCUCAACCGUAAAAUUGCAGUUGAUACUGGAUAUCUUGAGUGCAGUUGAGGCAGGUGGAAUUCGUGGUGUAGCGGUGAAAUGCUUAGAUAUCACGAAGAACUCCGAUUG